UACAGAGGGUGCGAGCGUUAAUCGGAAUUACUGGGCGUAAAGCGCGCGUAGGCGGCUUUGCAAGCCGGAUGUGAAAUCCCCGGGCUUAACCUGGGAACUGCAUUCGGGACUGCAUUGCUAGAGUAUGGGAGAGGGAAGUGGAAUUUCAGGUGUAGCGGUGAAAUGCGUAGAUAUCUGAAGGAACAUCAGUGGCGAAAGCGACUUCCUGGACAAAUACUGACGCUCAUGUGCGAAAGCGUGGGGAGCAAACAGG
rnacentral:rRNA from 1 species